GGCCGUGUGGCAAAAUGGUUACUGCGUUGCUUUCCGACCACGUAGGGAUGUGAACCCACCAUGAAGGCAGAGACUGUGGGUUCGAGUCCCACCAUGGUCG